rnacentral:rRNA from 1 species
GAUGAACGCUGGCGGCGUGCUUAACACAUGCAAGUCGAGCGAACGGACCAAACUCUUGCUUUUGUUUUGUUACCAGCGGACGAGUAAGUCAUGCGUAGAUAACCUUUCUAUCUGACUUGGAUAACUUCAAGUGACUCUAACUCAGGCUGGGUAAUCCUUUCACCUGCAUGGUUCUAGAGUGAAUUACGGUCUUUCUGUCGCUUUUAGGUCGAUCCGCUGUCUAUUAGCUAGUUGGUAAGGUAAGGACUUACCAAGGCGACGAUGGAUAGCCGACCUGAGAGGGUGACCGGCCACACUGGGACUGAGACACGGCCCAGACGCCUACGGGAGGCAGCAGUGGGGAAUAUUGCACAAUGGGGGAAAGCCUGAUGCAGCGACGCCGCGUGAGGGAUGACGGCCUUCGGGUUGUAAACCUCUGUCAGUGGGAAAGAAGCGAAAGUGACGGUACCUGCAGAAGAAGCAACGGCUAACUACGUG